rnacentral:ncRNA from 1 species
GUUAAAACGUUGAUAAGGAGAGUAAAGAUUUACUUCCUUUUUAGAGAAAACCUCCAUUGGCUGAAAGAGGUUUAUGUGAAGUAAUUCUUGAAAUGCACCUUUGAGUCUUUUGCUAAACGUCCACACGUGAUUAGUAAGUAAAAGCGUAUCGCUCUACGUUAAAGAGCCAAAGUUGAGGUCAUGAGGCGUCUUAGUGCGUGAUUAAGCUUCUCAUACCUAAACAGAGUGGAACCGCGCAUAACAAGCGUCUCUGUA